CUGACAGUUUGUGGGGGAAGGGCCCAACUGGGAGUGGCAGUUGGGUCUUGUGACUAGCACUUCCUUCCUGCUGGGAGUGGCAGUUGGGUCUUGUGACUAGCACUUCCUUCCUGCCUGGUGUGGCAGUUGGGUCCUGGGGACUAGCACUUCCUUCCUGCGGGGGUGGUCUUGCUUCCAGGUAUUGGAGGAGAGAGGAGCUUGUUCAGCCCAGUCUGAAGUGGCAUGCUCUUCUUGGUUGAGCCCAAAGACACAGGCUUCUAAAGAAAGAGAGCAUAGAAAAAACAACAAUCCAGGGGGAAGAACUGCUUGUAUUAAAGGUGGCAUUUGAAGCCUGGGAAUGAUGCUAUCACUUGAAUAAGACCAAGUUCUCUACAGGAGCAUAGUUGGACCAUAAGAACAUGAUAUUAGUCCAACUUGCCAAAAAACUAAGCCAGUAACAUAUAAAAGACCCCAGAAGUUCUCCCCAGACAUCAGACCCAGGAUUUCUAGGUCAUACACAGUCCUCUCCUGAUCAGCACUGUGACCUACAAUUUGAGCUUCAAGGAAGAACUACUGUCAUCUAUACUUUCCCCCAAGGAAUAAUGGACUUGUCCAGUGAUGAUCCUAAAAUCAAUUUUCUCCGCCUUGGCAACUUUGAGAGUUUAAGAGAUCAGGAGUUCCCUAAUUUCAAGUGUAGACUGUCUGUCAGGAAGUGACUUCUGAAGUAACUUCUCAGGGGAGAAGAUGACCACUAUGUGGAAGAAGGGGACAAAAAGGGACAAAACUCACAGAACAUAUGAACCUUGAAUGAAUUGUAGAGCCAAGAAGAAAGUGAAAUGCCAGUUCAAAAGUCCCCAAAGUGCUUCAUAUUUUAAUACUUUAAGUAUCAACCUCCCAGGAGUAGAAUAAAAAUAAUGGGUUAUUCUUUAAUGUUUUCA
rnacentral:lncRNA from 1 species